CCUACGGGGGGCUGCAGUGGGGAAUAUUGGACAAUGGGGGGAACCCUGAUCCAGCCAUGCCGCGUGUGUGAAGAAGGCCCUCGGGGUGGAAAGCACUUUCAGUGAGGAAGAACGCCUGGUGGUUAAUACCCAUCAGGAAAGACAUCACUCACAGAAGAAGCACCGGCUAACUCCGUGCCAGCAGCCGCGGUAAUACGGAGGGUGCGAGCGUUAAUCGGAAUUACUGGGCGUAAAGCGCGCGUAGGUGGCUUGAUAAGCCGGUUGUGAAAGCCCCGGGCUCAACCUGGGAACGGCAUCCGGAACUGUCAAGCUAGAGUGUAGGAGAGGAAGGGAGAAUUCCCGGUGUAGCGGUGAAAUGCGUAGAGAUCGGGAGGAAUACCAGUGGCGAAGGCAGCCUUCUGGACUGACACUGACACUGAGGUGCGAAAGCGUGGGUAGCAAACAGGAUUAGAUACCCGUGUAGUC
rnacentral:rRNA from 1 species